GCAUGGUUAGUCUUGCGGUAGGACAACGGUCUGCAAAACCGUUCAGAUGGGUUCGACUCCCAUACCAUGCU
rnacentral:tRNA from 1 species